UUCCAUCUAACCCUUUUUUAUUCUAGUUAUCUUUGAAUCCUAGAUUAAAAGGUCUUUAGUCCCGGCUCAAAAAUAAAUCACCGAUGGCCAUCUCUGACAGGUUCUUUAGUCCCGGUUGGUAAUAUCAACGGGGACUAAAGAGCCCCUUUAGUCCUGGUUGUAAUGGAGCGACUCUCCACCUCUCUCCACCUCUUCUUCCACCUCCUCCUCUCCCUCCUCUUCCUUUCCCUUUCUUCCAGGUAGGCAGCUCCCGCGUGGGUGGGCGGCACGGGCACAGGUAGCUGGCGCGGGUGAGCGGCGGGUGGCUGGCACAGGUGGCCCAUUUUUUUUAUUUUUUUGAAACUUUUUAGUCUCGAUUGGUAACACCACCGGAAUUACCGGGACUAAAGGACUGCCUUUUGUCUCGAAUAGCUAGUCCUGAUUGGAUUUUCGAGAUCUAGGAUACUUGCAAACCGAGACUAAAGAUGCAUUUUUCAGUAGUGUAAUAUGCCGGAGGAACAAAAAUCGGAUGAUUUGUUUUGCUAUCGGAUCACAUGGUGGGCUGAAAAUUGGAAAAGAAGGAUAGGGCACAAGGCAUUCCUUAACGCGGGAUUCUUAUCCAUCUUUCGGAAGAAGUUAUACUACUUUUGGUUGUGGAUCUGUAUACGUGUCAAAUGAUGGGUGAUAGCUGUGCAUGGUGGGAUAGGGAGAUUCCUUUUAGAUUUUAAACUUUAACUUCAUUUUUCUUUCAAACUGUAAAUGAGUUUUGGAUUCCAUUUGAACCUUCGUCCUAUUGAGAAUUUAUGCAACAAAAUAAGAUGCGUCAUAAAUAUAUUUUAAAUAUUUUAAAAAAAUCAACAUUUUAAAAAAAAUUGUUGAGGUGAAUGUAAAAAAAAUGAAGAAAAAUAUUGGUGAGAGUAAAAAAUGUUGAGCGAUAGUGUUGGUGAAUGUAAAAAAGUUGAAGAAAAAUACCAGUGCAUAUAAAAAAUGUUGAUUAACGUCAAGAAAUGUUGGUGAUAAUUAAGCUCGAUUUAAAGAAAAUAUUGAUGAAUAAAAAAAUAUUGGUGAAUGCAAAAAAAAUGUUAUAAAAAAAUGUUGGUCAACAACAAUAAAAUAUUAGUGAAUGUAAAAGAAUGUUAUAGCAAAAUCUCUGUCAAC
rnacentral:lncRNA from 1 species